GAUGAACGCUGGCGGCGUGCCUAAUACAUGCAAGUCGAACGCAUAGCGAAAGGUGCUUGCCCCUUUCAAGUGAUUGGCUAACGGGUGAGUAACACGUGGACAACCUGCCUCAAGGCUGGGGAUAACAUUUGGAAACAGAUGCUAAUACCGAAUAAAACUUAGUGUCUCAUGACACAAAGUUAAAAGGCGCUUCGGCGUCACCUAGAGAUGGAUCCGCGGUGCAUUAGUUAGUUGGUGGGGUAAAUGCCUAACAAGACAAUGAUGCAUAGCCGAGUUGAGAGACUGAUCGGCCACACUAGGACUGAGACACGGCCCCAACUCCGACGGGAGGCUACAGUAGGGACUCUUCCGCAAUGGGGGAAAGCCUGAUGGAGCAAAGCCGCGUGUGUGAUGAAGGCUUUCGGGUCGUAAAGCACUGUUGUAUGGGAAGAACAGCUAGAAUAGGAAAUGAUUAUAGUUUGACGGUACCAUACCAGAAAGGGACGGCUAAAUACGUG
rnacentral:rRNA from 1 species